AAGCCAGGUUAUGGUGCCCAACUACGCGCUAACCCAGAACCCAAAAAGGGUGUUGGUCGAUUAAGACAGCAGGACGAUGGUCAUGGAAGUCGAAAUCCGCUAAGGAGUGAGUAAGAACACACCUGCCGAAUCAACUAGCCCCGGAAAUUGAUGGCGCUGAAGCGCGCGACCCACACCCGGACAUCUGGGUGAUCGCCAUGCCCCGAUG
rnacentral:rRNA from 16 species